UACCUGCAGCCCAAGUGGUGGCCGCUAUUAUUGGGCCUAAAACGUCCGUAGCCGGUUCUAUAAAUGCCUGGGUAAAUCGUACGGCUUAACCGUACGAAUUCCGGGUAGACUGUUCAACUUGGGACCGGGAGAGGCUAGAGGUACUCCUGGGGUAGAGGUGAAAUUCUGUAAUCCUAGGGGGACCACCAGUGGCGAAGGCGUCUAGCUAGAACGGGUCUGACGGUGAGGGACGAAGCCCUGGGGAGCAAACGGGAUUAGAUACCCCGGUAGUCCAGGGUGUAAACGCUGCUCGCUUGAUGUUAGUCGGGCUCCGAGCCCAACUAGUGUCGGAGAGAAGUUGUUAAGCGAGCUGCCUGGGAAGUACGGUCGCAAGACUGAAACUUAAAGGAAUUGGCGGGGAGCACCGCAACGGGUGGAGCGUGCGGUUU
rnacentral:rRNA from 1 species